rfam:Omnitrophica bacterium OLB16 TZ16_OP3001CONTIG000059, whole genome shotgun sequence.
UCCGGUGUGUAUGGAGGAGGGGUCACGCCUGUUCCCAUCCCGAACACAGAAGCUAAGCCCUCCAUCGCCGAUGGUACUGCACCUUGACGGGUGUGGGAGAGUAGGACCAUGCCGGGA